rnacentral:rRNA from 1 species
UGGGGAAUAUUGCACAAUGGGCGCAAGCCUGAUGCAGCCAUGCCGCGUGUAUGAAGAAGGCCUUCGGGUUGUAAAGUACUUUCAGCGAGGAGGAAGGCGUUGUGGUUAAUAACCGCAACGAUUGACGUUACUCGCAGAAGAAGCACCGGCUAACUCCGUGCCAGCAGCCGCGGUAAUACGGAGGGUGCAAGCGUUAAUCGGAAUUACUGGGCGUAAAGCGCACGCAGGCGGUCUGUCAAGUCGGAUGUGAAAUCCCCGGGCUCAACCUGGGAAUUGCAUCCGAAACUGGCAGGCUAGAGUCUUGUAGAGGGGGGUAGAAUUCCAGGUGUAGCGGUGAAAUGCGUAGAGAUCUGGAGGAAUACCGGUGGCGAAGGCGGCCCCCUGGACAAAGACUGACGCUCAGGUGCGAAAGCGUGGGGAGCAAACA